rnacentral:rRNA from 1 species
CCCUUGCAGUAUUGGGUUUCUAACCAGCCGCCGUGACCCGGCGGUGGGACAAUGCCAGACGGGGAGUUUGACUGGGGCGGUCGCCUCCGAAAGGGUAUCGGAGGCGCCCAAAGGUUCCCUCAGAAUGGACGGAAACCAUUCGAAGAGUGCAAAGGCAGAAGGGAGCUUGACUGCGACACCGACGGGUGGAGCAGGUACGAAAGUAGGGCUUAGUGAUCCGGUGGUAUUAAGUGGGAAUGCCAUCGCUCAACGGAUAAAAGCUACCCUGGGGAUAACAGGCUUAUCACUCCCAAGAGUUCACAUCGACGGAGUGGUUUGGCACCUCGAUGUCGGCUCAUCGCAUCCUGGGGCUGUAGUAGGUCCCAAGGGUUGGGCUGUUCGCCCAUUAAAGCGGUACGCGAGCUGGGUUCAGAACGUCGUGAGACAGUUCGGUCCCUAUCCGGCGUGGGCGUAGGAUAUCUGAGAGGAGCUGUCCUUAGUACGAGAGGACCGGGAUGGACGGGCCGCUGGUGCAUCGGUUAGACUGCCAAGUCUACGGCCGAGUAGCCAAGCCCGGAAGGGAUAAACGCUGAAGGCAUCUAAGCGUGAAGCCCCCCUUAAGAUGAGAUAUCCCAUUCGAAAGAAGUAAACCCCCUUGAAGACGACGAGGUAGAUAGGGCAGAGGUGGAAGUG